rnacentral:sRNA from 1 species
AGUGGUCCCGCAGAGGCGGGGUGGGAGUGGGGCUGCCGAGGCAGUGCACUUGGCUGUAGCUGGGCGCCUCGGUUAGGUGCGCUGUCAGUCCUUUCCGAGUGCCUGGCCCAGUCUCUCCCGCCUCGGCCCAACAUGGACUUCAGAGAAAUUCUCAUGAUAGCUUCCAAGGGACAAGGUGUCAACAAUGUGCCGAAAAGGUAUAGUUUGGCAGUGGGGCCUCCAAAAAAAGACCCAAAAGUUAAAGGUGUCCAAUCAGCAGCUGUACAAGCUUUUCUUAAAAGGAAAGAAGAGGAGCUGAGACGAAAAGCCUUAGAGGAGAAAAGGAGAAAAGAGGAACUAGUGAAAAAGCGAAUUGAGCUCAAACAUGACAAGAAAGCAAGAGCUAUGGCCAAGAGGACAAAGGAUAAUUUUCAUGGUUACAAUGGGAUUCCUAUUGAGGAAAAGUCAAAGAAGAGGCAGGCAACAGAAAGCCAUACCAGCCAAGGAACCGACCGAGAGUAUGAAAUGGAAGAAGAGAAUGAAUUCCUCGAGUACAAUCACGCAGAGUCAGAGCAGGAGUAUGAGGAAGAGCAAGAACCUCCCAAAGUUGAAAGCAAACCAAAGGUCCCCCUUAAAAGUGCCCCACCACCCAUGAACUUCACUGAUUUACUCAGGCUGGCUGAGAAAAAGCAGUUUGAACCAGUGGAAAUCAAGGUAGUGAAGAAAUCAGAAGAGCGACCUAUGACUGCAGAAGAACUUAGGGAGCGAGAAUUCCUUGAACGAAAGCAUAGGAGAAAAAAACUUGAGACAGAUGGAAAACUACCUCCAACUGUGUCCAAAAAGGCACCCUCUCAGAAAGAAAGUGUGGGCACAAAACUUAGCAAAGGUUCUGGAGACAGGCAUCCUUCUUCUAAAGGAAUGCCCCUUCCUCAUGCUGAGAAGAAAUCAAGACCCAACAUGGCCAAUGAGAAACACCUCGCUUUGUCUUCAUCCAAAUCCAUGCCAGGAGAGAGGAUCAAGGCAGGAUCUGGCAAUAGCUCCCAACCCUCACUUCGUGAGGGCCACGACAGACCUGUUUUCAAUGGAGCUGGAAAGCCUCAUUCCAGCACCUCUUCACCAAGUGUCCCAAAGACUUCUGCUAGCAGGACUCAGAAAUCUGCUAUUGAGCACAAAGCCAAAAAAUCUCCGUCCCAUCCUAGCCAUUCCAGGCCUGGGCCCAUGGUCACCCCACACAAUAAGGCUAAGAGUCCAGGUGUCAGGCAGCCAGGCAGCAGCUCUAGCUCAGCCCCUGGGCAGCCCAGCACAGGGGUUGCUCGACCCACAGUUAGUUCUGGCCCUGUGCCUAGGCGCCAGAAUGGCAGCUCCAGCUCAGGACCUGAGCGAUCAAUCAGUGGGUCCAAGAAGCCAACCAAUGACUCAAAUCCCUCUAGGCGGACAGUCAGUGGUACAUGUGGCCCUGGACAACCUGCAAGCAGCUCAAGUGGCCCUGGGCGACCCAUCAGUGGUUCAGGUAGUUCUGCAAGACCCUUGGGCAGCUCUCGUGGCCCUGGCCGGCCUUUGAGCAGUCCACAUGAACUUCGACGACCAGUGUUUGGCUCAGGCCCCCUGGGGCGGUCUGUCAGUGGCCCUGGGAGAUCCAUAAGUGGCUCAAUUCCAGCUGGACGGACUGUCAGUAGUUCAGUCCCAGGAAGACCAGUGAGCAGCUUGGGACCUGGGCAAACAGUUAGUAGCUCAGGUCCCACUAUAAAGCCUAAGUGCACUGUUGUCUCCGAAACAAUUUCUUCUAAGAAUAUUAUUAGCCGGUCCAGCAAUGGACAGAUGAAUGGAAUGAAGCCUCCCCUAUCUGGCUACAGAUCUGUCCAAGGUCCUCAAAGGCUUCCCUUCCCUACUGGUUACAAAAGGCAGCGAGAAUAUGAAGAGGAAGAUGACGAUGAUGAUGAAUAUGACUCUGAAAUGGAAGAUUUUAUCGAAGAUGAAGGAGAGCCUCAGGAAGAAAUAUCCAAGCACAUUAGAGAAAUCUUUGGUUAUGACCGAAAAAAGUAAGACUAAAGAAGAUUCAGAUAACUAUGACAUCCUUUUUUUAUUUUGAAUAAUUCAUGUCAUAGGGUAAUAAACUAAUAGUGGAGGCACUGAAUACAAUUCUUAAUUAGGAACCCUUGGGUGAUUGUUAUUUUAAAUAAAUGUACUCU